CCUACGGGUGGCAGCAGUGGGGAAUAUUGCACAAUGGGCGAAAGCCUGAUGCAGCAACGCCGCGUGAAGGAAGAAGGUUUUCGGAUUGUAAACUUCUGUUCUUAGUGAAGAAUAAUGACGGUAACUAAGGAGCAAGCCACGGCUAACUACGUGCCAGCAGCCGCGGUAAGACGUAGGUGGCAAGCGUUGUUCGGAAUUACUGGGUGUAAAGGGAGCGUAGGCGGGAAGCCAAGUCAGCUGUGAAAACUACGGGCUUAACCUGUAGACUGCAGUUGAAACUGGCUUUCUUGAGUGAAGUAGAGGGUGGCGGAAUUCCGGGUGUAGCGGUGAAAUGCGUAGAUAUGCGGAGGAACACCGGUGGCGAAGGCGGCCAACUGGGCAUGAACUGACGCUGAGGCGCGAAAGUGUGGGGAGCAAACAGGAUUAGAUACCCUUGUAGUC
rnacentral:rRNA from 1 species